rnacentral:rRNA from 1 species
GACGAACGCUGGCGGCGUGCUUAACACAUGCAAGUCGAGCGAUGAAGCUCCUUCGGGAGUGGAUUAGCGGCGGACGGGUGAGUAACACGUGGGUAACCUGCCUCAUAGAGGGGAAUAGCCUUCCGAAAGGAAGAUUAAUACCGCAUAAGAUUGUAGUACCGCAUGGUACAGCAAUUAAAGGAGCAAUCCGCUAUGAGAUGGACCCGCGUCGCAUUAGCUAGUUGGUGAGGUAACGGCUCACCAAGGCGACGAUGCGUAGCCGACCUGAGAGGGUGAUCGGCCACAUGGGGACUGAGACACGGCCCAGACUCCUACGGGAGGCAGCAGUGGGGAAUAUUGCACAAUGGGGGAAACCCUGAUGCAGCAACGCCGCGUGAGUGAUGACGGUCUUCGGAUUGUAAAACUCUGUCUUCAGGGACGAUAAUGACGGUACCUGAGGAGGAAGCCACGGCUAACUACGUACCAGCCGCCGCAGUAAAAC